UACAGAGGGGGCGAGCGUUGUUCGGAAUUACUGGGCGUAAAGGGCGCGUAGGCGCCUGCUAUGUCGAACGUGAAAUCCCCGGGCUCAACCCGGGAACUGCGUCCGAAACUGGCAGGCUUGAAUCCGGGAGAGGGAUGUGGAAUUCCAGGUGUAGCGGUGAAAUGCGUAGAUAUCUGGAGGAACACCGGUGGCGAAGGCGGCAUCCUGGACCGGUAUUGACGCUGAGGCGCGAAAGCCAGGGGAGCAAACGGG
rnacentral:rRNA from 1 species